rnacentral:lncRNA from 1 species
UGUGCCUAAAAUGCAUAUACAUUCUUCAACAUCUGAUUUGUGUUUGUAUGAAUUAUUUACAAUGGAAAACCAACUUUGCCAAAUUUAUUUAAUGUUGUAUCUUAAGAAAAAAAAUACUGCUGCCAAAUUCCAAAUUUCAAGGACUUUUUAUUUUUUAUUUAAAUUUUUUUUCUCUAGUUUUUAUUCUUUUGUUUUUGUUUUGCUUUUGUGUUUUAUUUAUUUAUUAUUUUCUCUUCUCUUCUCACUUUCUCUCUUAAAUAAAAUACUCACUCAAUUGAUCAACAUUGAAAUAAUUGAUACACAAUAUACUGUAUAUAUAUUUUAUAAUUUUGAAUACUAACAAUUACUAACAAUUUUUCUAAAUAUACAAUCUAAUGUUUAACGAGGCCGGGAUAAGGUACCGGUACUUUCGGUAUCAAACUAACAAAUGUGAAAGUUUUCAAUUAAG